rnacentral:lncRNA from 1 species
GUUGUCUGUAAUUUGUUGAAUAAUACUAGAUGAGCUACGUUAUGAAUCAAUAAACAACGCUUAGCUAGAAAUGUAUAUGAUCAAUCAUUUUUAGCUAGAAAUGUAUAUGAUCAAUCAUUUUUUACUUUUUAUUUUAUUACACUAACAACUGAUAAAACAACUCGCCCUUGAUGAGUUGAAUUCAUGGCCUUUCAUUUAUAAAUGAGAGGCUAACCUCACAAGAACAUAUGGCACUGAUUGUACUGUAGAUAGUUUGAAAUGAUCUUUCAGAGAUUAUGAACAUUUUAUGAUGAUAUAUUUCCAUAAUACAGGCGAAGAGGGAUGAGAUUCAGAACAAAGCAUCAGAGACAGCUCAUGCUGCCCAACACAAGGCAUCUCAAGCAUCUCAGGCUGCCCAAAACAAGGCAGGAGAUGCUUCUAGCACUGCCCAAGAUAUCAAGGACCAAGCCUCCCACCUCCUUCAACAGGCAUGCAUGAAACUACUUAGCCCUACCUCUAUUUUUCUAUAUCAUAUAUCUGUUAAUGUCAUCUCUAUUCAUUUAGUACUGUGCAAUGCUACAUGAACUGCAUUUCUGAAUCGCGUUACGAGUAGAAACUGUGUUUGAUACGGAUCAGACAUGUCAUAACAAUCUGCAUAACUCACUGCAGACUGGAGAGCAAGUGAAAAGCAUGGCUCAGGGAGCAGCUGAGGCAGUAAAGAACACUUUGGGAAUGAAUAAUGCUAACCACCCAAACAAUCCAAGCAACAACCCAAGCAAUCCAAGCAACAACCCAAGCAACCCACACAACGCUAGCAACCUUAGCAACCCAAGCCACCCAAACAACCCAAGCAACAACCCAAG